UAAAAGAGACACCACCUGGGCACUUUAGAACUCCCCACCAUCAUAUUACGGAAGUCAUACGCUACCGGCGCAUCUUAGAGUACGCCACCGGAUUGCUGAUCUUAACUGUUCCGGUGACGAUGUCCGAUCAAAGCCCUAAAUCAAUUUUCCCGGUGAUCAUCUUCUCAAAUGUUCAGUGGUUACUUUCAUCUUCUGUUAUGCUUCCGGUUCAUCUGGCCCUUCUAACUAUGGGUUCGAAUGCUUGCUUUACACUAGCAACAUCAAAAUACUGCAAUUUAGAUGAUAUAUAUGUUUUCCCAGCAAGCUUUGCCCUAAAGGAGAGGCUGGCAAGUGUUUGCACCUUGGAAUUGAUGAUUGUAGACAAGAUGUUGGUAAAAUAGUCAUUGUUCGUGAUGUAUUUUACAACCAACCAGUUCGAAGGAAGCAAAUGCACUCCAACCCAAAGAGGGUCUUGCAUUCUAUGAAGUGUCUCUGCUAAGAAUCGCCCUUGUGCAUCCCAAUGUCUCAUACAAUUUUGUUGAUAUUGAUAGAUAUCAAUUCAAGAUUUGCUUCCAAAGGACCAAUACAUAAAUUACUUAAUAACAUAGUGAUGAGCAGCGAAGUCGAUCUCAGUUGUAUCCACUGUUUUAUUGAACCUAAACUGCCCAAGAUCUUUAUAUGAUUUGACUUUGGAGCCUUCAAUGACCUCUGUGGAAUUUAAGGAUCUGGUGUCUCAUGAGAUGGACUGGUGCUGAUGGGAAAAAGCUAUGCUACAUCAAAAUAGAACCAUUCAGAUUAUAUGUACGCCUCCCCAGCAAGCUUUGGCUUUGAAGGAGAUGCUCUGAGCUUUAUUUCGGACGUUUCCUUGUUGGAAAUUGUUACUAAAACUCACGGGAGGCCAAAUGGAUAUCGUAAGGUUUUGAAGACAAAAUGUUGGUACAACAGUCAUUGUUCGUGAUGUUAGUGAUGUAUUUUACAACCAACCAGUUCGAAGGAAGCAAAUACACUCCCAAGUACUUCUAGUUUUCUCAAAAUUCAAACAAAUAAAUAAUUUUGAUUUACAUACUUCUUAAGCUGUAUUCUUUCCUGAUUGAUCUUUUGGUUUGCAUAUAU